rnacentral:rRNA from 1 species
UUUAACUGAAGAGUUUGAUCAUGGCUCAGAUUGAACGCUGGCGGCAGGCUUAACACAUGCAAGUCGAGCGGGGGAAGGUAGCUUGCUACUGGACCUAGCGGCGGACGGGUGAGUAAUGCUUAGGAAUCUGCCUAUUAGUGGGGGACAACAUCUCGAAAGGGAUGCUAAUACCGCAUACGUCCUACGGGAGAAAGCAGGGGAUCUUCGGACCUUGCGCUAAUAGAUGAGCCUAAGUCGGAUUAGCUAGUUGGUGGGGUAAAGGCCUACCAAGGCGACGAUCUGUAGCGGGUCUGAGAGGAUGAUCCGCCACACUGGGACUGAGACACGGCCCAGACUCCUACGGGAGGCAGCAGUGGGGAAUAUUGGACAAUGGGGGGAACCCUGAUCCAGCCAUGCCGCGUGUGUGAAGAAGGCCUUAUGGUUGUAAAGCACUUUAAGCGAGGAGGAGGCUACUUUAGUUAAUACCUAGAGAUAGUGGACG